GGGGAUUUGGCUCAGUGGUAGAGCGCUUGCCUAGGUCCUGGGUUCGAUCCCCAGCCCCG
rnacentral:tRNA from 1 species